GUACAUAAAGGAAUUUACUAUUUCAGUAAAAAACAGUUUAAGAAUGACUGUAAUAUUUUUUCUGUCUAUUCAAAAUAACAUAAAAAAUGUGGUGCACACUGAAUAACCCUUGUAGCGGGUUAUUUAUAAGUGUGCACCACAUUUUUUAUGUUAUUUUGAAUAGACAGAAAAAAUAUUAGUAAUUUCUUAUAAUUUAAUUCUUAAUUAUAUUUUAAACCAGCGUAAAUUAUGAAAAAAUGUUGAUGACGUCACAGUCACAUGAAAAAAUUAUGUCUAUGAGCUGAUAAACAUAACAACAUCAGCCAAUCAGAAGAUGUGUGACAUCCAAAAAUAAAUUAUUCAUGAAGAACAAAUUUGAGUAGUCCCCCUUUAAAAACAUUUGGAGUCAUGAUUCAUUCAUCAGGCAACCAUUAAUCACAGAAAGAAUUCCAUCCAUGUUACAAAAAUACUUUACUGUUUAUACCAGAAUAUUGACUCAAAUAAAAAAAAC
rnacentral:lncRNA from 1 species